rnacentral:rRNA from 1 species
AGAGUUUGAUCCUGGCUCAGGAUGAACGCUAGCGGCAGGCCUAAUACAUGCAAGUCGAACGGCAAGUUUUGUAGCAAUACGGAACCUAGAGUGACGUACGGGUGCGUAACACGUAUGCAACCUACCCAUAACUGGAGGAUAGCUCCCCGAAAGGGGAAUUAACCCUCCAUAGUAUAAUUGGAUGGCAUCAUUUGAUUAUUAAAACUCCGGUGGUUAUGGAUGGGCAUGCGUCUGAUUAGUUAGUUGGCGGUGUAACGGACCACCAAGACGAUGAUCAGUAGGGGAACUGAGAGGUUGAUCCCCCACACUGGCACUGAGAUACGGGCCAGACUCCUACGGGAGGCAGCAGUAGGGAAUAUUGGUCAAUGGAUGCAAGUCUGAACCAGCCAUGCCGCGUGCAGGAAGAAGGCCCUAUGGGUUGUAAACUGCUUUUGCCAGGGGAUAAAAUAUCCUUGCGAGGAUAAUUGAAGGUACCUGGUGAAUAAGCCACGGCUAACUACGUGCCAGCAGCCGCGGUAAUACGUAGGUGGCAAGCGUUGUCCGGAUUUAUUGGGUUUAAAGGGUGCGUAGGCGGUCUUAUAAGUCAGUGCUGAAAUAUCCCGGCUUAACCGGGAGGGUGGCAUUGAUACUGUAGGACUUGAGUAAAGUUGAGGUAGGCGGAAUUGACGGUGUAGCGGUGAAAUGCUUAGAUAUCGUCAAGAACACCGAUAGUGAAGACAGCUUACUAAACUUUAACUGACGCUGAGGCACGAAAGUGUGGGGAUCAAACAGGAUUAGAUACCCCGGUAGUCCAA